AUUGAACGCUGGCGGCAGGCCUAACACAUGCAAGUCGAGCGGAGCGGCGGACGGGUGAGUAAUGUCUGGGAAACUGCCUGGUCGUGGGGGAUAACGUCCGGAAACGGGCGCUAAUACCGCAUACUCUCAGAUGAGCCUAGGUCGGAUUAGCUCGUUGGUGGGGUAAAGGCCUACCAAGGCGACGAUCCGUAACUGGUCGUAGAGGAUGAUCAGUCACACUGGAACGGAGACACGGUCCAGACUCCUACGGGAGGCAGCAGUGGGGAAUAUUGGACAAUGGGCGAAAGCCUGAUCCAGCCAUGCCGCGUGUGUGAAGAAGGUCUUCGGAUUGUAAAGCACUUUAAGUUGGGAGGCGUUACCAACAGAAUAAGCACCGGCUAACUGCGUGCCAGCCGCCGCGGUAAUAC
rnacentral:rRNA from 1 species